rnacentral:rRNA from 1 species
GUCUACAGCCAUGCCACCCUGAACAUGCCCGAUCUUGUCUGAUUUCAGAAGCUAUGCAGAGUCAGGCCUGGUUAGUCCUUGGAUGGGAGACCACCUAGGAAUACCAAGUGCUGUAGGCG